GAGGAAAAGAAACUAACAAGGAUUCCCCUAGUAGCGGCGAGCGAAGCGGGAAGAGCUCAAAUUUAUAAUCUGGCACCUUCGGUGUCCGAGUUGUAAUCUCUAGAAGUGUUUUCCGCGUUGGACCGCACACAAGUCUGUUGGAAUACAGCGGCAUAGUGGUGAGACCCCCGUAUAUGGUGCGGACGCCCAACGCUUUGUGAUACACUUUCGAAGAGUCGAGUUGUUUGGGAAUGCAGCUCAAAUUGGGUGGUAAAUUCCAUCUAAAGCUAAAUAUUGGCGAGAGACCGAUAGCGAACAAGUACCGUGAGGGAAAGAUGAAAAGCACUUUGGAAAGAGAGUUAACAGUACGUGAAAUUGUUGGAAGGGAAACGCUUGAAGUCAGACUUGCUUGCCGAGCAAUCGGUUUGCAGGCCAGCAUCAGUUUUCCGGGGUGGAUAAUGGUAGAGAGAAGGUAGCAGUUUCGGCUGUGUUAUAGCUCUUUGCUGGAUACACCUUGGGGGACUGAGGAACGCAGUGUGCCUUACGGCGGAUUUCUCGAGAUCUUCACACUUAGGAUGCUGGUGGAAUGGCUUUAAACGACCCGUCU
rnacentral:rRNA from 1 species